UUGCUCACUUCAGCAGCACAUGAACUAAAAUUGAAACGAUACAGAGAAGAUCAGCAUGGCCCCUGCACGAGGAUGACACACAAAUUCACAAAGUGUUUCAUUUUAAA